rnacentral:rRNA from 1 species
GUAGUCAUACGCUCGUCUCAAAGAUUAAGCCAUGCAUGUGUAAGUAUAAAUAUUUUACUUUGAAACUGCGAAUGGCUCAUUAUAUCAGUUAUAGUUUAUUUGAUGAAAAGUACUACUUGGAUAACCGUAGUAAUUCUAGAGCUAAUACAUGACCAAAUCCUCGACUUUGAAGAGGUGUAUUUAUUAGAAUGAAACCAAUAGACUUCGGUCUGUUUGUGAGUAAUAAUAACUAAUCGUAUCGCAUGCUUAGGUAGCGAUAUGUCUUUCAAGUUUCUGCCCUAUCAGCUUUGGAUGGUAGUGUAUUGGACUACCAUGGCAGUAACGGGUAACGAAGAAUUUGGGUUCGAUUUCGGAGAGGGAGCCUGAGAGAUGGCUACCACAUCCAAGGAAGGCAGCAGGCGCGUAAAUUACCCAAUCCUGACAUAGGGAGGUAGUGACAAUAAAUCACAAUGCGGAACUAUUAGUUUUGCAAUUGGAUUGAGAACAAUGUACAAAUGUUAUCGAUAAACAAUUGGAGGGCAAGUCUGGUGCCAGCAGCCGCGGUAAUUCCAGCUCCAAUAGCG